rnacentral:rRNA from 1 species
GGCAGCAGUGAGGAAUAUUGGACAAUGGAUGGAAAUCUGAUCCAGCCAUGCCGCGUGCAGGAAGACGGCCUUAUGGGUUGUAAACUGCUUUUAUACGGGAGCAAUAAGGGUUACGAGUAAUCCGAUGAGAGUACUGUAUGAAUAAGGAUCGGCUAACUCCGUGCCAGCAGCCGCGGUAAUACGGAGGAUCCGAGCGUUAUCCGGAAUUAUUGGGUUUAAAGGGUGCGUAGGCGGCCAUUUAAGUCAGCGGUGAAAUUUUGCAGCUUAACUGUAACAGUGCCGUUGAUACUGUUUGGCUAGGAUUUGGUUGUAGUGUGCGGAAUGUGUGGUGUAGCGGUGAAAUGCUUAGAUAUCACACAGAACACCGAUUGCGAAGGCAGCACACUAAGUCAUUAUUGACGCUGAGGCACGAAAGUGUGGGGAUCAAACAGGAUUAGAUACCCUGGUAGUCCACACUGUAAACGAUGAUAACUCGCUGUCGGCGAUACACAGUCGGUGGCCAAGCGAAAGCAUAAGU